rnacentral:rRNA from 1 species
UACGUAGGGGGCUAGCGUUGUCCGGAAUCAUUGGGCGUAAAGAGCGUGUAGGCGGCCCGGUAAGUCCGCUGUGAAAGUCGGGGGCUCAACCCUCGGAUGCCGGUGGAUACUGUCGGGCUCGAAUCCGGAAGAGGUGAGUGGAAUUCCUGGUGUAGCGGUGAAAUGCGCAGAUAUCAGGAGGAACACCAAUGGCGAAGGCAGCUCACUGGGACGGUAUUGACGCUGAGACGCGAAAGCGUGGGGAGCAAACAGG